CAAAGUCUGUGCAUUAUCCCAAACCUCUCCUUUCAACUCUCAUCCAUUCGUUACAGGGAGACCAAACAUGAUUCUGUGCCUAAACCUGUUAUCCUUACUUGCACUCUUUGGAGAUGUCCAAUCUGACAUCCAAUUGGUUGAGUCUGGAGGGGAUGUAAGAAGACCUGGAGGGUCCCUCCGUCUCUCCUGCCAAGCCUCUGGAUUCACCUUCAGCAGCUCUUACAUGGGCUGGGUGAGACAGGCUCCAGGGAAAGGACUGGAGUGGGUUGCAAGAAUAGGCUCGUCUCCUUCCACUCACUACUCCGACAAAGUCAAGGGACGCUUCACCAUCUCUAGGGAUGAUUCCCGCAGUCAGCUGUAUCUGCAGAUAAACAGUCUGAAACCAGAGGACACGGCUGUCUAUUACUGUGCGAGACUCACAGUGAGAGGAAGUGAAUCUGAAAAGCAUAGCCAGCCACAGCGACAGGCUGAAGAACUGUUUCUACCCAUGGGCUGUCAGGCUCCUGAAUGGGAAAUAACUCUAUGGAUGAAAGACUUGCGGGGCCGGUGCACUGUGCAAUAA